rnacentral:tRNA from 1 species
GCAUCCGUAGCCAGCUGGAUAGAGUACUCGGCUACGAACCGAGCGGUCGGAGGUUCGAAUCCUCCCGGAUGCACCA